GCCUGGGAUAGCUCAGCUGGUAGAGCAUGAGACUACCAUGCUCAUGGAUUCAUUUCAGGGUCAUGGGUUUGAUUCCCAUGAUGGGCA